UUGAGAGCUUACCUAGCCUCGAUAAAAUUGGAAAGAUACAGAGAAGAUUAGCAUGGCCCCUACGAAGGGAAAAGAAAGGAAAAAAAAAAAAAAAAAAACUUACCU